GAUGAAGAACGCAGCGAAAUGCGAUAAGUAAUGUGAAUUGCAGAAUUCAGUGAAUCAUCGAAUCUUUGAACGCACAUUGCGCCCGUCAGUAUUCUGGCGGGCAUGCCUGUUCGAGCGUCAUUACGCCCCUCAAGUCCCCUGUGGACUUGGUGUUGGGGAUCGGCGAGGCUGGUUUUCCAGCAUAGCCGUCCCUUAAAUUAAUUGGCGGUCUCGCCGUGGCCCUCCUCUGCGCAGUAGUAAAACACUCGCAACAGGAGCCCGGCGCGGUCCACUGCCGUAAAACCCCCCAACUUUUUAUAGUUGACCUCGAAUCAGGUAGGACUACCCGCUGAACUUAAGCAUAUCAAUAAGCGGAGGA
rnacentral:misc_RNA from 1 species